rnacentral:ncRNA from 1 species
GACAAAAAGCAAGGCUUUUUGGACGUUGGCGUUGCCAACGGUUCCGAAGAAGCGAGCAAAUCUUCAGGAUUUACGAGUACAAAA